GACGAACGCUGGCGGCGUGCCUAAUACAUGCAAGUCGAACGAGAGCAACCGGUGCUUGCACUGGUCAAUCUAGUGGCGAACGGGUGAGUAACACGUGGGUAACCUGCCCAUCAGAGGGGGAUAACAUCCGGAAACGGAUGCUAAAACCGCAUAGGUCUUCGAACCGCAUGGUUUGAAGAGGAAAAGAGGCGCAAGCUUCUGCUGCUGGAUGGACCCGCGGUGCAUUAGCUAGUUGGUGAGGUAACGGCUCACCAAGGCCGUGAUGCAUAGCCGACCUGAGGGGGUGAUCGGACACAGUGGGACUGAGACACGGCACAAACUCCUACGGGAGGCAGCAGUAGGGAAUCUUGCGCAAUGGACGCAAGUCUGACGGAGCAACGCCGCGUGAGAGAAGAAGGUUUGCGGAUCGUAAAACUCUGUUGUUAGAGAAGAACAAGUGCUAGAGUAAAUGUUAGCGCCUUGACGGUAUCUAACCAGAAAGCCACGGCUAACUACGUG
rnacentral:rRNA from 1 species